GACGAACGCUGGCGGCGUGCCUAAUACAUGCAAGUCGAACGAACCGCGACUAGGUGCUUGCACUUGGUCAAGGUGAGUGGCGAACGGGUGAGUAACACGUGGGUAACCUACCUCAUAGUGGGGGAUAACAGUCGGAAACGACUGCUAAUACCGCAUAGGACAUGGGAUCACAUGAUUCCGUGAGGAAAGGUGGCGCAAGCUAUCGCUAAGAGAUGGACCCGCGGUGCAUUAGCUAGUUGGUAGGGUAACGGCCUACCAAGGCAAUGAUGCAUAGCCGACCUGAGAGGGUGAUCGGCCACAUUGGGACUGAGACACGGCCCAAACUCCUACGGGAGGCAGCAGUAGGGAAUCUUCCGCAAUGGACGCAAGUCUGACGGAGCAACGCCGCGUGAGUGAAGAAGGUCUUCGGAUCGUAAAGCUCUGUUGUUAGAGAAGAACAGCGCAUAGAGUAACUGUUUC
rnacentral:rRNA from 1 species